GACACAAGUUAACGUUAUAUACAUAACAAUCAUUCAUAUAUCAUUGUACAAUAUCGCGCAAUAAUGUUAUGACUGGUUAAUUCUAUUGUCGUUGUUGGACAUAGGAAGUGUAUUGGAAGUUCCCUUUAUAUCCUCAACAUUUACUUCUGAAGGUGUCUCUCUUGUAUAAGGAAAAGUGAUGGCCAAAAGGCACACAGAGAUGAAAUGUGGAUUUUGUUGUAAAAACUUUAAAGAUCCAAAACUUUUGCCUUGUUUUCAUACAGUUUGUCUCACGUGUUUGGAGGAUAUUGUUGAAAAAAAUGAUCAAAGUGGACAUUUUCCAUGUCCAAUUUGUCGGACACCAAUAACCAUUCCCGACGGAGGAGUGGGAUGUUUUCAGACAAAUUUUUAUAUUCAAACAGGUCAUGAUCAUAACUUUAAGUUAGAUUGUGACGCAUGCGAAGGAAAUGAAUUAGCAAGUCAUCAAUGUAGACAAUGUGACCAGAAUUUCUGCAGAAGUUGCAGUAAAGUACACUUGCGCAUGUCAUCUUCGCGAGAUCACGAACUGGUUUCAAUUAUAUAUUCAGAACUGAGACAAGUUGCCCUAGAUGGUGUUAUAUCCUGUUGUAAAAGUCAUCCAUCCGAAGAAUAUACAAUGGUAUGCAAGGACUGUGAUGAAUUAAUAUGUCGAGCUUGUAAGAUUUCAUUGCACAAGGAACAUUCGUGCGGUACAAUUUCUGAAGAAGUGGAGGAAAAGAAGAUGCAGCUUAGAGAUCUCAUUGAUAUAUCUGAGAACAAUUUGACAGAAAUUAAAAAAGAUAUGCGUGUUGUUAAAAGACAAACGGAGUCAAAACAUACAUAUUUUAAUGAACAAAUAACUGAUUUAAGAAAACAAAAAGAUCUGCUUAUUUCAAAGUUAAAUGAAAACUUCAAAUCAUUUGAAGGCAAAAUUAGGGAAUUAAACGAAGAUCAGUUAAUGCUGUUCAAUGAGAUGAAUGAAAAUCAGAAAUUGAAAACUGAAAACUUUAACCAAACAAUAGACAAUGCAAAAGAAGCACUUGAAACAAGUGAAGAUGUAAGAUUUCUAAAAGAUUAUGACAGCCUCGUUAAAAAACUACGUGAAAUAGAAGUGUCAUUGGUCCCAGUUGUUUCUGGGCAUAAACUGAUGGAAACAGUUGAAUUAUGUACUACUUGGCUCAUAAAACUUAACGGACAAAACAGUCAGUUAUCGUAAAUUUGGAAUGCAAAAAAUACAUGAAGUAUACUGCUAAAAAUCAGUGAUAUAGUUUCUUUAGGUUUUAUGUAUAAUGUAAAAUUUGCAGAAUGACUUGUGCAGUUAGUUUAGAUAGGUUGCCUGUGAUCUAGUGGUAACAUGCUGGACUAUUUAUCUAGGGUUCUGGGGUUCGAAUCCCGGUCCAUGCACUGGGAAAUUCUGAGAUGCUCUUGAGUGUCUCCCACCUAGCCAAGAGACAAGCACUGGGUCUUCUCAGGAAAGGCGUGCUAUACACAAGGUACAUUAAAAGAACCUGAUUAUCUAUUCGAAAAGAGCUAGACUUAGGUACCCGGACAAGCCUGUACCUUAUGGAUUUGUCUCUCCCACUGUUCGGGGGGCUUUCUCUCGCUUUAGUAGAGGAUGAACUUGGCAUCCUGUGUAUCUGCCUUUGUGCUAUGUAAGGCGCCUUUGAAAGGAAAGUGUUUAUCAUGAAAAAGGCGCUGUAUAAAUUGGGUGUGAUACUAUUAUAUUAUUCUAAGUAAAGAAGACUCAUUCAUAGUAAUAGAAAGGUAUUGGACAGCUUAUACUUUAGUAGUAAGUGUCGAUAAAAUGAUAUAAUGUACUACCUUCUACACAUAUUAUAUUUUGGAGCGAAGUUAUAUAUACAGUUAACAAUUGAUUUAAGGUAACACUCAAUAUUUUGCAAUAUCUAAUAAAGUACAUUUUACAAUUUACAAACACUGAGAACAGUAUACAGUUUGCUGUGAAUAUCUUAAUGUUUCAUGGGAAUCGAAUAAUCAACGAUAUAGCUAGCUUCAUUCAUUUAGCGACUUCAUCCCAUUGUUUUUAAAAUCCACAAAAUACCUUUUGUUGGAAAGAAGGUUUGCUUUAGAUCAUAUGACAUUCCAGUCAAAAUAUAAAAUGACAUGAAGUAAAUGUUCUUAAGUUUAUUUUUAUUAUCAUUUCCCUUACUCAAAAUAACUUUCCUUCGUUUAAUAAUUCUAGACAUUUUUUGUGUGUAUUCCUUUACUUCUUUUACUUCUAGAUAAUGUUUGACGCUGUUAAACGGAUAAAAACAUAUGACGUCAUUGUCGGAUUUUUUUUAGCAUUUUACACCUUACUACCAAUGUAUUGUUCUCACAGUAACAUUUUCUGUUAAGUGUACAUAUGAAGAGCAUGAUAAUGAUCCGUUAGACUUAGAUGGUUUAACAUUUGUUACAUACGUUUAAAGUUUAAAACUUAUCUCUAUAUGCUGUUCCCAUUUUUGGAUCGACUAUUCGAAGAAUAGGGAGAGCUAUCCUACUCACCAUGGCGUCGGCGUCACUCCUCGAUUAUGUUUUUCAUAUCAGUCCACAUUUUGACAAAACCUUUUGCCAUAUAGUUUUGAAACUUUCAACGUUUGUGUACCAUCACCAUUUCCAGUUUAAGACAAGAGUACGUAACUCUGUCAAGGACUUUGACUGAAUAAUGACCCCUUUCAACUUACAAAUUUUGGUGAAGUUCUUCGUACCAUUUCAUAUUUUGUGUAAACUGUUCGAAACAUUUAUCACCUGUUUAUUAUAACAGUCUCUAUCUGUAGGCUAGAAUUCUAUCAAGUAUUUUGACUGAAUUAUGGCCCCUUUUGGACUUGAAUAUUGGUUCAGUGUUUAAACAAGUCUAUGUUUUGUCAAAACUAUAUGACACGUGGCUUUGAAACUUUGACCACUGGUUUAUCAUAACAGCCUCUUUCUGUAGACAAUAGCACAUAACUCUGUCCAGUAUUUAUCUGAAUUAUGGCCCUGUUUCGACACGGAAAUUGUUCAGUUUUCGUAAAAGUUCAUGUUUGUCAAAACUAUUUGACAGGUGGUUUUGAAACUUUGAACUCCUUUCUAUUAUAAUAGUAUUUUGGCUGAAUUAUGACCUUUUUUGGACUUGAAAAUUGGUUCAAUUUUUUUACAAGUCCACGAUUUGUCAAAACUAUUUGACAUAUGGCUAUGAAACUUUGAACACUUGUUCAUUGUCAUUAUCUCCAUCUGUAGUCAAGAGUAUGUAACUAUAGCAAAGAGAUUUAGUUGAAUCAUGGCCCUUUUUUGGACUUGGAAAUCAGUUGUUUUUUUAUACCAGUCCAUGUUUUGUCUAAACGUUUUGAUAUUUUAACCAAUUGUUUACCUUCAUAAUCUCCAUAUGUAGACAAGACUACAUAACUAGGACAAGGAUAUAGUACAUAGCUUUUCUACUCACAAUAUUUUAGCUAGACCAUUCGAAAAGUAACUAGAAACCCAUACUUACGUCAAUUCUCCGAAUAGUCGAGCGCCCUGUCAACAGAAAACUGUUGUUGUUUCUGAAAUUAGACAUUUUAGAAAUUUCUUAAAUCAACAAACUAAACAAUCGAACAUGCACAUGCGCGAAGUUUUUGUAAUAUAUUAAUCUCAUGAUCAACACAGGCUACACGAGAAUAUCUACAAACUGCAUUUAUUUUGCAGCUGCAAAUAUGCUGAUAUCGCUAAACACUUUAAAGAUAAUAGUGUUUUUCCGGGUUUAAGUAAAAUAUUUAUAAAUGAUGUAUUGAUUUGUGCAUUGUAGUUAAUAACUAGUUUUAAUAAAUUUGUAAGAAAUGUUUAGCCCGAUUUAUUAUCAUAUAGAAUUCAUUAAGGUAGUUCUGCACGCUUGAUAAACCGGAAGUAAUGGUGUAACUUCAUUCAUCAGGAUCUGGCUUCGGCGUACGGAAGUAAAACCAUUUUAUGAUUUAAUGGCAACCCAUAACAUACACAAUGGAUUUUAUGGCGAAUUCGGACAUGAUAAAUAUCUGGACAAAUGUAUCUGAAAGUGUGAACAAAAGACUUGAAAACGAUAUAAUAAAUGUUUUGGCUAAAUACACAGAUAACUAUUUUGACAUUCUGGAGGCUAUCAACAAACUAGAAGCGCACGGAGUAUUUUCACAGGAAUAUUGUCACCAACUUCUCCGCAAAUUUUCUAAUCUGCAUCUUUCAAAGAGGGAACAGCUUUCAGUGUUCAUUUUGGACAUCGUGAAGGAAGCGUCACCGGUCGAGUUCUACGACAUUCUUGAUCUAAUUGAUCUAUCCGACAUGGCAGAAGAAAUUCACUGUGAACAUAAUGGGCCAGUACAUAGACAAAUACGUAGAGCACCCAUACCACAUUCACAUCACUUACAGAAACAUUUCUAUGUGUUAAAAAGUUACCUUGACGAUAAUGUAUUCACAGAUAGGAGGAAUUUUCUUAGAGACAAUACAAAUGAACUUAAGUCAUCCUUUCCAAAUUUAGAAAACGAAAAUGUAUUAACAAAAGCAGCUAAUAAAUUCGCUGUGAAUACAUGGCUGUGGGUACAACAUUGCAAACGUGACACGCAUGAAAUCAGAAACAUUCUGAUGGAUAUGAGAGCAUUAAGCUGGCCAGCUGGUGUUGAUCCUAUACUGUCUGAGGUCAUAUUUGAAAGCAAAAUGGCUGUUGUAUCUGCGAUGGAAGGUUCAUUUGAAUGCUCGAAAGGUCACCGGCGCAAUGCAAAGUACUUGGUCAGGGAGUACCAUGACCCACUAACGAAAUCACUCGUUUGCCAUGACAGUAGGUAUGUAAGCCAAAUCCUGGCGAGAAACAAUGUUGCUGACACAACUUCCGUCCUCAGAGAAUGUCAGAUAGGACUCAGAUUUCUAGAAUCUGAAACUAACGGGAACCAUUUCUGCAAACAAAUGCAACGAUCGUUUCUCUUGUACCUGGCUCAACACUACCUCCGUAUUGGAAAUGAUCUACACAUUGAUAGAACAGUACCAAUACCUGCAAAGGACUUACAAGAUGCUGAGAACGUUUUGUAUGUAGUCAGAAUAAAUCUACAAUCUGGACAAAUCGUUGAACGAAGACGAGAUAUGGUGUACAAUGUAUGCAUGGCGAGAUUGUUUGACGCUCACGGCCAGCGACAAACGGCAAUAGCUUACUUGUGUGAGGCACAACAUUUGUCCAGGAAUGGUGCUUUCUUCGAAGGGGAAAUUAGAAAUAUUGGUGAUUAUAAAGCAGUGCUUGAAAGGUUAUAGGUUCACUAUGGGCACUAUUCUAUAGUUUGUAUUACUACAUUUCUGAAAAUUACCUUCACGAUACUAAUUGAUUUGGAAGAAGCUUGGCUUGUAUUAAACAUAACUUUAGCUGAGGAUAUUGAAAUUAACUGAGUACUAAAUUUGUACUAAACAUGUUAAAUAUGACACUGCGUCACGAAUACUUAUAUAAACAAAAUACUAUUAGUUUAGGGGUACAAUCAACAACAUCAUAUCUUUGUAUGCUGCUCUAUUUUGACAGGCGAGACUUUACUAUCACUUCCACAUUUCCGUCCACAUAUUACAGCAUAGUUAUAUUGAAUUAAAAAAUCAAUAUAGCAAUUAUUAUACUUAUUGGAAAGUAAGGCUAGGGAGGCUGCGUUUUUGGAAUAUGGCAUUCCCUGUUUGAUAUUAGUCCUUAUUGUUUAUAUAGUUAUUUUGUUUACUUGAAAUUAUCACAGGAUGAAUUGUAUAUGCAGUUCUAAAUAACCUACAUAUUCCAAAUAUUUAAGAAUAAUUGAAAUACAGCCAAACUUCAGAGAUCACUUGCAUUAAGUGACCACUUUUUCAUUUCCUAUUUAUAUUAAUAAAGAACAAAUUAUGUUGUAUAAAGAGACCAGUUGUGUUAGGAGACCGCUUUUUGUCCUUCCCACGGGUGGUCUUCUUAUGCAAGUUGUACUGUGCGAUAAAUAAUUGUUUUAUUAGACUGCUAGAUAACAGAUAAUUUAACAGAAAUAAAAAAUAACAAGCCAUUAAGAUUCUUAAAGAAUAUGUAAAUUCUUUGGUGAACGCUGGACAAGAACAAAGAACAGCAUCCUUGGUUUUAUGUUAUUUUGAGUUUACUCUGAGAGUCAAUCUCAGAAACAGAGGCUUUACUUAUCUCGUUUGCGUCUAAACAUAUAGGUAUCCAAAAUCGUAUUGACCUUGAAAGCACGUAAAUUUGAAAGAUGUGUGAUAUAAUAUACUAGAUCAUCAAAUAUCUUCCUGGUGGCAAAAAUAUUUGUGUCACGUCUGUUUUAAUAUCUCGGAUUUAAAUCGAUAUUUAUGUCUUGCUUGGUGAAUUGUCAUAAUCUUGAAUGAAUCAUAUUUUGAUAUCAAACUGUAUCUUUGAUUUCCCCCUAACGAUCACUGAUUAUCAAGAAACAUAGUUAAACAGAUCUAAAAAUAAUUAUUUUGUCAAGUUUGUUGCCUCUGUUUGUUCAUUUAUUUGUUUGUUGUGCCUCGUUUAUAUGUUUUACUUUUGCAUACAUAAGUAUUUUGUACACAUCUAUACAGCCACUGUAGAGUUUCGAUUUGAUGGUACUGCACUGAACUUGAGAGAGCUGUGCUCUGGAACCAGAGAAUACUUCCCACUUGAAUUUGAGAAAGCUGCUCUCUUGACUUUGAGAAAGCUACACGCUUGAAUUUGAAAGUACUGCACUCUUGAGUUUGAGAAAGCUGCACUCUUGAAUUUUAGAGAGCUGCACGUUUCAGUUUUUAAUAUACUGUACUUUUGAACUUGAGAGAGCUGCACUAUUGAACGUAAGAGAGCUGCAUUUUUGAUCUUGAAUAUCACAACUUGAUCCCACGAAGGCGUCUGGUCCUUAUUUCAUAAGCCCUAGACUGCUAAAGGAAACUCAAACGAAUUAUUUGGACCCCUUACAAAGUUUUUAACAUGCUCAUUGAAAUGGCGUAUUUCCAAUCUGAAGGGGGAAAAAGCACGUAUCACCUAUAUUCAAAAAGGCCGAUACGUCUAAUCCAAGUAAUUACAUGCCCAUUUCCCUUCUUAGCUCAAGGCAAAUUAAUGGAACGCUGUAUGAAUUCACAAAAUCUUUACAACUUCAAUAUAGACAAUUAUCUGUUGACAACUUCUCGGUCCGGUUUUAUCCGAGGCGUGUCAAUAACCAAUCAAUUUUUAUAUAUUUAUAACGACUUUUGUCAGGCACUAGACGUUUGAAAGAAAUAAAAUUUGACAAGGCAGUUUA